GGAUAGCUGAACUCUGUUCUCUUCUGUUUCAGGAAAACAAAUUUGGUUUCUUCUACUAUACUCUCAAGACACAGAUCACUUCUGACAUGAGAUGUGAGGGGGUUUUCCCUGUGCUCCAAGCAAGCAAUCACUUCUGCAGAGGAUACCAGCUAGCUGUCCAAUUUUUUAAAGAUGUCGAUGGACCUUUAUUUUAUUCAUUUAUUUAUAUGUUGGGUUGAGGAUUGAACCCAGUGCCUCACACAUGCUAGGCAAGUGCUCUACCACUGAGCCACAACCCCAGCCCGCUGUCCUUCAAUUUUGACACUAUACCUAGAGACAACGUCUGAUCCCAUAGUCUGAUAGCUGAAUCCUGAAGAUUUCCCCCUCUUCUGAUGCCAAUUGCAUGCACUGGUUGUUUGACUUGGGCUUCUGAUUGACUGGCUAUAAAUGAAGUUUCCUACGACCCCCCCUACCCUUGAGUUUGUUUAAUGUGCUUCAGCAGGUCACAGAACUGAGGGAAACACGUUUACCAGUUUAUUAUAAAGAAUAUUACAAAGGAUACAAAUGAAAGAUGCAUUAGGUGGGGCAUAGUGGAAAGGGUGCAGAUUUCUAUGCUUUCUACCAGUGCCCCACCUUCCAGAAAUCUCUUCCUGCUCAGCUAUCUGGAAGCUCUCCAAAUUCAGUCCCUUAGGGUUUUUAUGGAGGGAGACUCUAUUGCAUAUCUGAUGUUAACAGACUGUAAUGGACUGGGUGAGGAGUCCCCCUGCCCAAGUUUUUCUGCUUCAGCAUUCUUUUUGGCCCAUUUGGGCAGAAGUCCUCUUUCCAUCCUAUGUAGGGUAUAGGGCAGGACCUUUCUGGAAUGAGGACCAUUUUAUGACAAGGGACAAGGGUAGGUCAGAGAAUAUUUUUAUGGUCAGCUCUAAGACAGAAAAGUGGUAAGAUUAGAGAUUCUGUGAUGAGCCAGGAAUUAUAGAUGAAAACCCCAAAAUAAAUAUCAUAUCCUCCUAUGCCCAUAAAGUGGCAGGUAAGUGGGGUUAGAUUAUAGGAUUCCUGUUAGCUUUAGGGCAGAGAGAAAUAAAUCCUAGACAAAUAAUUGCCUAUAUUAAGCUGGGUAUGGUGGUUUAAACCUG
rnacentral:lncRNA from 1 species